GACGAACGCUGGCGGCGUGCUUAACACAUGCAAGUCGAGCGGAGCGGCGAACGGGUGAGCAACGCGUGAGUAACUGCCCCCCUCCCUGGGAUAACAGUUGGAAACGGCUGCUAAUACCGGAUAGUGGGGGAUGACUCGCGCCCUCUCAGCUUGUGGGUGGGGUAGUGGCCUACCAAGGCGACGACGGGUAGCCGGCCUGAGAGGGCGACCGGCCACAGUGGGCUGAGAUACGGCCCAAGGUCAUACGGGAGGAAGCAGUGGGAAAUAUUGCGCAAUGGGGGAGGCCCUGAUGCAGCACCGCCGCGUGCGGGAUGACGGCCUUCGGGUUGUAAACCGCUUUCAGCCAUGACGCGGUAGUGGCAGAAGAAGCACCGGCUAACUACGUGCCAGCAGCCGCGGUAAUUC
rnacentral:rRNA from 1 species